UAAUUUGUAGUCACACGGAACACGAGUCGAGCCGCAAGGCGAGGCGCGAUGCGGACCGACGGCGCUCGCGAGCGAACCGAACCCGCAGACAUCGGCACGAUAGCGUAUCCGGACGACCGACCGUUAGAGGUCGUGGAUGGAGGGUGUGGUCAGGGACAUCACUUGGCGAGCGCCGGCGUGCCGCCCGCGGCCGCCUGCUGCCGCUUGUGGCUGAUCUCCAGCUCGCCCAGCCGCUUCCACAGCUCGUCGCGCUCCUUCUUGCGCUUCAUCUCUCUGCAACACACAGACGCUUAGCCACUUCGCACUAACACAUUCAAAGUUUGGUGCAAAGCUGGGUGGAUAAACUAUUUGCAAUAUAAAUUCUAUGAAUAAAACAUAUACAUGACACGCCUCUGUCCGAUUAAACUCAUUAAAAAAUA